GACGAACGCUGGCGGCGUGCCUAAUACAUGCAAGUCGAGCGGAUUUUGGGAAACCUAGUUUCCCCUUAAUCAGCGGCGGACGGGUGAGUAACACGUGGGUAACCUGCCUGUAAGACUGGGAUAACUCCGGGAAACCGGGGCUAAUACCGGAUAACUCAGUUCCUCGCAUGAGGAACUGUUGAAAGGUGGCUUUCAGCUACCACUUACAGAUGGACCCGCGGCGCAUUAGCUAGUUGGUGAGGUAACGGCUCACCAAGGCAACGAUGCGUAGCCGACCUGAGAGGGUGAUCGGCCACACUGGGACUGAGACACGGCCCAGACUCCUACGGGAGGCAGCAGUAGGGAAUCUUCCGCAAUGGACGAAAGUCUGACGGAGCAACGCCGCGUGAGUGAAGAAGGUUUUCGGAUCGUAAAACUCUGUUGUUAGGGAAGAACAAGUGCCGUUCGAAUAGGGCGGCACCUUGACGGUACCUAACCAGAAAGCCACGGCUAACUACGUGCCAGCAGCCGCAGUAAGAC
rnacentral:rRNA from 1 species